rnacentral:rRNA from 1 species
CGGACGGGUGAGUAACGCGUGAGAAUCUGGCUUCAGGUCUGGGACAACCACUGGAAACGGUGGCUAAUACCGGAUGUGCCGAAAGGUGAAAGGUUAACUGCCUGAAGAUGAGCUCGCGUCUGAUUAGCUAGUUGGUAGAGUAAAAGCCUACCAAGGCGACGAUCAGUAGCUGGUCUGAGAGGACGAUCGGCCACACUGGGACUGAGACACGGCCCAGACUCCUACGGGAGGCAGCAGUGGGGAAUUUUCCGCAAUGGGCGAAAGCCUGACGGAGCAAUACCGCGUGAGGGAGGAAGGCUCUUGGGUCGUAAACCUCUUUUCUCAGGGAAGAACACAAUGACGGUACCUGAGGAAUAAGCAUCGGCUAACUCCGUGCCAGCAGCCGCGGUAAUACGGAGGAUGCAAGCGUUAUCCGGAAUGAUUGGGCGUAAAGCGUCCGCAGGUGGCAAUGUAAGUCUGCUGUUAAAGAGUCUAGCUCAACUAGAUAAGAGCAGUGGGAACUACAUAGCUAGAGUACGUUCGGGGCAGAGGGAAUUCCUGGUGUAGCGGUGAAAUGCGUAGAGAUCAGGAAGAACACCAGUGGCGAAGGCGCUCUGCUAGGCCGUAACUGACACUGAGGGACGAAAGCUAGGGGAGCGAAUGGGAUUAGAUACCCCAGUAGUC